UUAAUAAUUUAUUAUUUUAAUAUUAUAAAAAUAUUUAGUGGUUUUAUUAAGGUUUAAUGAAAAAAUUAUAAUAAUUAUAGUUAAUUAGUAUUGUGAGAGAAGAUAGAUAAAAUUUUAUAAAGAAAAUUUAAUUGAUUGUAUCUUGUGUAUCAGAGUUUAUUAAAUAUAGAUUAUUUAAGAUUAAAUUUCUCGAAUUUAGAAGAGUUAAAAAGAUAUUAAUUUUAUUGUAUAAUAAAUAUUUAAAAUAUUUUUUUUGAAGUGAAACGUUAUUCGUUUUUAAAUAUAUCUAGUUUUUAAAGAAAUAAGUUUAAUUUAUUAUUUAAUAUAUUUUAUAUAAAUUAAGUAUAAAUAUUAUUAAAUAGGAAUAAUUUAAGGGAUAAGCUUUAAAUUAAAUUAUUAAAAAUAAUUAUGAAUUAAUUAAAUAAUAUAAGAUUAUAAAUUUUUAUUAUUAAUAAUUUGUUAUAAUUAAAUUUAAUAGAGAAAUAAUUUUAAUUUUUUUUUAGAUUUUUUAUUUAAAAUAUUUAUUUAAUAAUUAAAUAAAUUAAAUUAUGAUAAAAUUAGUAUAGAAUAUAUUAAGAGAUAUUGAUAUUAUAUAAGAUUAGAUUAAGUAAUUUAGCAAAUUUUAAUUUUCGCCUGUUUAAUAAAAACAUGUCUUUAAGAUUAUAUUUUAAAGUCUAAUCUGCCCAAUGAAAAUUUUAAUGGCCGCAGUAUUUUGACUGUGCUAAGGUAGCAUAAUAAUUAGUUUUUUAAUUGAAAGCUGGAAUGAAGGAUUGAACGAGAAAUUAACUGUCUUAAUUUAAGAUAAUUAGAAUUUUAUUUUUAAGUUAAAAUGCUUAAAUUUAUUUAAAAGACGAGAAGACCCUAUAGAGUUUAAUAUUCUAUUAAAGUUAUAAUUUUUAGAUAUAUUUUUUUAUAAAAGUAAUAGGAUAUUUUAUUGGGGCGAUAAGAAAAUUUAAGUAACUUUUUUUUAAGUAAAACAAUUAUAUUUGGGUAUUUGAUCCUUAAAUUAAGAUUAUAAGAUAAAAUUACCUUAGGGAUAACAGCGUAAUUAUUUUUAAGAGUUCUAAUCGAUAAAAUAGUUUGCGACCUCGAUGUUGGAUUAAGAUAAAAUUUUAAUGAAGAAGUUAAAAGUUUAAGUCUGUUCGACUUUUAAAAUCUUACAUGAUCUGAGUUUAAACCGGUGUGAGCCAGGUUGGUUUCUAUCUUUAAAUAAGUUUAAUAUUUUAGUACGAAAGGACCAAUUAUU
rnacentral:rRNA from 1 species